rnacentral:tRNA from 1 species
UCCUCCUUAGCUCAGUUGGUAGAGCGCAUCACUUGUAUUUCCACGCGAUGAUGAGGUCAGUCGUUCGAGUCGGCUAGGGGGAA